UGGGGAAUAUUGGACAAUGGGCGCAAGCCUGAUCCAGCCAUGCCGCGUGAGUGACGAAGGCCUUAGGGUUGUAAAGCUCUUUUGGCGGUGACGAUAAUGACGGUACCCGCAGAAUAAGCCCCGGCUAACUUCGUGCCAGCAGCCGCGGUAAUACGAAGGGGGCUAGCGUUGUUCGGAAUUACUGGGCGUAAAGUGUGCGCAGGCGGCUUCGCAAGUCGAGUGUGAAAUCCCCGGGCUUAACUUGGGAACGGCGCUCGAAACUACGGAGCUAGAGUAUGGCAGAGGGAGGUGGAAUUCCACGUGUAGCGGUGAAAUGCGUAGAGAUGUGGAGGAACACCAAUGGCGAAGGCAGCCUCCUGGGCCAAUACUGACGCUCAUGCACGAAAGCGUGGGGAGCAAACAGGAUUAGAUACCCAUGUAGUCCCUGAGCGGGCUGGCAAGGCGCAU
rnacentral:rRNA from 1 species